rnacentral:rRNA from 1 species
UACAGAGGUCUCAAGCGUUGUUCGGAAUCAUUGGGCGUAAAGCGCGCGUAGGCGGCCAGAUAAGUCCGGUGUGAAAGUCACAGGCUCAACCUGUGAAUGCCGCUGGAAACUGUCUGGCUAGAGUCCGGAAGGGGCGAGUGGAAUUCCUGGUGUAGCGGUGAAAUGACGCAGAUAUCAGGAGGAACACCAAUGGCGAAGGCAGCUCGCUGGAACGGUACUGACGCUGAGGCGCGAAAGCGUGGGGAGCGAACAGG